UACGGAGGGGGCUAGCGUUGUUCGGAAUUACUGGGCGUAAAGCGCACGUAGGCGGCUUUGCAAGUUAGAGGUGAAAGCCCGGGGCUCAACUCCGGAAUUGCCUUUAAAACUGCAUCGCUAGAAUUGUGGAGAGGUAAGUGGAAUUCCGAGUGUAGAGGUGAAAUUCGUAGAUAUUCGGAAGAACACCAGAGGCGAAGGCGGUUUCCUGGGCCAAUACUGACGCUGAGGCGCGAAAGCGUGGGGAGCAAACAGG
rnacentral:rRNA from 1 species